CUCUCUUGGGACAAGAUUUGUAAAUCAAAAAAAAGAGGUGGCCUCGGCUUGUAAUCCUUACCGAUCAGAUAACUGGCCCUAAUCGUGAAAAUUGCUAUAAAUCUCAUUCUGCAUCUUGUCUCUCUUUGGGCCCAUCUUGUCUCCUCAAAGUACAACUUUUUAGGCACUUGGUUGGGCUAUCAUAGACCUCGCAGAUUUUCUAUUAUCUGGUCUAAACUUAGCACUAUUGGAGCCAGCUUCAACAAAAUUUAAUUUGGAUGGUUGGCACUGGCACCUCUGUAAAUAUUUUUCAUG
rnacentral:lncRNA from 1 species